rnacentral:rRNA from 1 species
UAAGACAGAGGUGGCAAGCGUUGUUCGGAAUCACUGGGCUUAAAGGGCGCGUAGGCGGCAGCGCAAGUCUGCGGUGGAAUCCCGGGGCUUAACCCCGGAACUGCCUUGGAAACUGCGCAGCUUGAGUCAGUGAGGGGAGGGCGGAAUUCCCGGUGUAGCAGUGAAAUGCGUAGAUAUCGGGAGGAAGGCCGGUGGCGAAGGCGGCCCUCUGGCACUUGACUGACGCUGAGGCGCGAAAGCGUGGGGAGCAAACAGGAUUAGAUACCCUGGUAGUCCACGCCCUAAACGGUGGGUAUUAGGUGUUGGGCCCGCGAGGGUUCAGUGCCGUAGGGAAACCAUUAAAUACCCCGCCUGGGGAGUACGGCCGCAAGGUUGAAACUUAAAUGAAUUGACGG